AAAUCUUCUCGAGGUG
rnacentral:tRNA from 1 species